UGAAUACGAGACGCUAAGGCGUCGAAGUAGUGUAUGUCAUACUUCCAAGAAAAGCUUGCACUGUCAUAGAUAAAAAACGCCUGUACCAUAACCGACACAGGUGGGUAGGUAGAGUAUACUAAGGGGCGCGAGAUAACUCUCUCUAAGGAACUCGGCAAAAUAACUCCGUAACUUCGGGAGAAGGAGUGCCUUAUUCUUAAGGUUGCAAUAACAAGAUCCAAGCAACUGUUUAUCAAAAACACAGGUCUCCGCUAAGUCGUAAGACGAUGUAUGGGGGCUGACGCCUGCCCAGUGCCAGAAGGUUAAAGAAGCUGGUUAGCAUUUGCGAAGCUAGUAACUGAAGCCCUGGUGAACGGCGGCCGUAACAAUAACGGUCCUAAGGUAGCGAAAUUCCUUGUCGGGUAAGUUCCGACCCGCACGAAAGGCGUAAUGAUUUGGAUACUGUCUCGGAGAGGGGCUCGGUGAAAUAGACUUGUCUGUGAAGAUGCGGACUACCUGCACCAGGACAGAAAGACCCUAUGAAGCUUUACUGUAACUUGAAAUUGAAAUUGGACUUUAUUCGCGCAGUAUAGGUGGGAGGCGUUGAUUAUAAUCUUGCGGGAUUAUUGGAGCCAUUAGUGAGAUACCACUCUUGUAAUGUUAGAUUUCUAACUUUGAAUCAUUAUCUGGUCAAAGAACAGUUUCAGGCGGGCAGUUUGACUGGGGCGGUCGCCUCCUAAACGGUAACGGAGGCGUACAAAGGUCUCCUCUGAACGGUUAGAAAUCGUAUCUAGAGUGUAAAGGCAUAAGGAAGCUUGACUGUAAGACCUACAAGUCGAGCAGGGACGAAAGUCGGUCUUAGUGAUCUGACGGUACUGAGUGGAAAGGCCGUCACUCAACGGAUAAAAGUUACUCUAAGGAUAACAGGCUGAUCUCCCCCAAGAGUUCACAUCGACGGGGAGGUUUGGCACCUCGAUGUCGGCUCAUCGCAUCCUGGGGCGGUAGUACGUCCCAAGGGUUGGGCUGUUCGCCCAUGAAAGCGGUACGCGAGCUGGGUUCAGAACGUCGUGAGACAGUUCGGUCCAUAUCCGGUGUAGGCGUUAGAAUAUUGAGAGGAGCCUUCUUUAGUACGAGAGGACCGAGAAGGACAUACCUCUGGUGUACCAGUUAUCGUGCCAACGGUAAACGCUGGGUAGCUAUGUAUGGAGUGGAUAACCGCUGAAAGCAUCUAAGUGGGAAGCCCACCUCAAGAUAAGUAUUCUCAUC
rnacentral:rRNA from 1 species